AGUGAACGCUGGCGGUAGGCCUAACACAUGCAAGUCGAACGGCAGCACAGUAAGAGCUUGCUCUUACGGGUGGCGAGUGGCGGACGGGUGAGGAAUACAUCGGAAUCUACUUUUUCGUGGGGGAUAACGUAGGGAAACUUACGCUAAUACCGCAUACGACCUACGGGUGAAAGCAGGGGAUCUUCGGACCUUGCGCGAUUGAAUGAGCCGAUGUCGGAUUAGCUAGUUGGCGGGGUAAAGGCCCACCAAGGCGACGAUCCGUAGCUGGUCUGAGAGGAUGAUCAGCCACACUGGAACUGAGACACGGUCCAGACUCCUACGGGAGGCAGCAGUGGGGAAUAUUGGACAAUGGGGGCAAGCCUGAUCCAGCCAUACCGCGUGGGUGAAGAAGGCCUUCGGGUUGUAAAGCCCUUUUGUUGGGAAAGAAAAGCAGCAGGUUAAUACCCCGCUGUUCUGACGGUACCCAAAGAAUAAGCACCGGCUAACUUCGU
rnacentral:rRNA from 1 species